GUUUGAAUGAAGAGAGGGCUGAGCUCCAAUAACUCUUAACCAGACUCUGGAUACCAAACAUAGCACGAAAUACCUUUGGGGAAAAUUGUAUUACAGGGCCGAGCGUGGCUUAGAAGUUAGUGUGCCGGACUGUUAAUCCGAGGUUCCGUGUUUUGUGCACUUUCAGAAGUGGGGGACGUUAUAUAAGUGACAGUCAAUCCCGUUAUUAGGUUCAAAGACUCGAACGAAGCUCUUCUGAUGGCAGAUGCUGUUUUGUGAAUUUUUUAAUAAAACAUUCACGGAAAGAAAAAUAAGUCAUCAUUUUAAUAUUCAGUACUCGACAUUUUCUACUAGAGGUCGCUUUAAUGAACCGAUUCAGAAUCACAAAGACUAUAAGAACUGGGACAGCAUCCUUUCCUUCAGCCCAUUCCUCAGCAGAAAUGGCUGCCACAUCAGCCGCCGUUAGUGGAUACAAGUCAUCUUGAAACUGGUCAGACUGUGUGAAGUCGACUACCAUUCCAGCUCCAACAGCAGUCAAAGACCACAUCAGGA